rnacentral:rRNA from 1 species
AACCUGGUUGACCCUGCCAGUAGUCAUACACUUGUCUUAAAGAUUAAGCCAUGCAUGUCUCAAUGCUUUGUUUAUUUUAACAUUAGAUUGCAAAUGGCUCAUUAUAACAGUUAUUAUAUUAUUGAGAUUAUUUUAUAGGUGGAUACUUAUGAGAAAAUUAUUAAAAAUAUAUGAUUUUAAAAUAUUUAUUUAUUUGGCAUUUAUUUGCUUUCAAACCAAAAUGUUUUAUCAUUAUGGAUGAUUCAUAGUAAUGUUUGGAGAACGCUUCGAUAUGCGGCAGAUCUUCACGGUUUCUGACCUAUCAGUUAGUCAGUAGUGUACUGGACUACUGAAGCGUUGACGGGUAACAGAGAAUUAGGGUUCUGUUCCGGAGAAGGAGCCUGAGAAACAGCUACUAUAUCUAAGGAACGCAGCAGGCGCGUAAAUUACCCAAUUCUGAUAAAGAGAGGUAGUGAUAAGAAAUCACAAUAUUUUACCUUAGGGUUAAGUAAUUGAAUUGAGAACACAGUAGCCAUAUUACCAAUAAACUAUUGGAGGGCAAGUCUGGUGCCAGCAGCUGCGGUAAUUCCAGCUCCAAUGGUGUAUGCUAAUAUUGUUGCAGUUAAAAAGCUCGUAGUCGAAUUUUUAAGAAAAUCAAUUUUAUGUGAUCCUAAUGAACAACAAAAAAAUAUGAUUUAUCUUAUUUUAUGCUUAUACACCUUUGAAAUUCAUUUUUUGAUGGUGGACUGAUUUUGUGUUUACUUUGAGAAAAUUAGAGUGUUCAAAACAGCCUUUGCGGAUUUAUAUUAAAGCAUGGAAUGAUAAAUAAUGACAUCGGCUAAUUUUUGUUGGGAUGAGGAGCUGAGGUAAUGAUUUAUAGAGUCAGUCGGAGGUAUUAGUAUUUUAUCGUUAGAAGUGAAACUCUCGGAUCGUUUAAAGACUAACAACUGCAAAAGCAUUUACCUAGAAUAUUCUCCUUGAUCAAGAACGUAAGUUGAGGGAUCGAAGACGAUCAGAUACCGUCGUAGUCUCAACUGUAAACUAUACCGGCUAGGGGUUAGCAAAUGUUUAUAUGCCAUUGUUAGAACCUUUGGAGAAAUCACAGCGUUUGGGUUCCGGGGGAAGUAUGGUUGCAAGGCUAAAACUUAAAGGAAUUGACGGAAGGGCACCACAAGAUGUGGAUUCUGUGGCUUAAUUUGACUCAACACUGGAAAACUUAUCAGGUCCAGACAUAGGUAGGAUUGACAGAUUGAUAGUUUUUUCUUGAUUCUAUGGGUGGUGGUGCAUGGCCGUUCUUAGUUGGUGAAGUGAUUUGUCUGGUUAAUUCCGUUAACGAACGAGACUUCCACAUGAUAAAUGGCACAAUUUUUACAUAGAAUCAUUGCUUCUUAUAGGGACUGGCUUUGCAUAAAUUGCUGGACGAUGGUAGCAAUAACAGGUCUGUGAUGCCCUUAGAUGUUCUGGGUAGCGCACGGGCUACAAUAGAAGAGUAAAGAAGUUUGGGUAACAUAGCUCAAAAAGGGCCGUGAAAUCUUAAAACUGUUCUAUAUAUGGAAUUACGCUUUGAAAUUAUACGGUAUAAACCAGGAAUACCUAGUAAGUGUAUGUCACUAACGCGUACUGAAUACGUCCCUGCCCUUUGUACACACCGCCCGUCGCUCCUACCGAUUGAAUGAGUUGGUGAGUUGAUUGGAGCGACGGCUAUCUUGCAAAAAGAUUAUUGUGAUUUUUUAAAAUUUACAAACUAGAUUAUUUAGAGGAAGGAGAAGUCGUAACAAGGUUUCCGUAGGUGAACCUNCAGAAGGNUCA